rnacentral:rRNA from 1 species
UACGUAGGCAGCGAGCGUUGUUCGGAAUUACUGGGCGUAAAGCGCACGUAGGCGGGUCCUUAAGUCAGGGGUGAAAUCCCGGAGCUCAACUCCGGAACUGCCUUUGAUACUGGGGAUCUUGAGUACGGGAGAGGUGAGUGGAACUGCGAGUGUAGAGGUGAAAUUCGUAGAUAUUCGCAAGAACACCAGUGGCGAAGGCGGCUCACUGGCCCGUUACUGACGCUGAGGCACGAAAGCGUGGGGAGCAAACAGG